rnacentral:tRNA from 1 species
AGGUCAGUAGCUCGAAUUGGUAGAGCGGCAGACUCCAAAUCUGCGGGUUGGGGGUUCGAAUCCCUCCUGGCCUGCCA